rnacentral:rRNA from 1 species
CCGCCGGCGACCGGCGCACGGGUGAGUAACACGUAUGCAACCUGCCCCUGUCAGGGGGACAACCCGCCGAAAGGCGGGCUAAACCCGCGUACAUGCCACCGGGGCAUCCCGGAGGCAGGAAAGGCUUCGGCCGGACAGGGAUGGGCAUGCGGCGCAUUAGGCAGUAGGCGGGGUAACGGCCCACCUAACCGACGAUGCGUAGGGGCUCUGAGAGGAAGGUCCCCCACACUGGUACUGAGACAUGGACCAGACUCCUACGGGAGGCAGCAG